rnacentral:rRNA from 1 species
GGAAUCUUCCACAAUGGACGCAAGUCUGAUGGAGCAACGCCGCGUGAGUGAAGAAGGUCUUUCGGAUCGUAAAACUCUGUUGUUAGAGAAGAACACGAGUGAGAGUAACUGUUCAUUCGAUGACGGUAUCUAACCAGCAAGUCACGGCUAACUACGUGCCAG